UACGUAGGGUGCGAGCGUUAAUCGGAAUUACUGGGCGUAAAGCGUGCGCAGGCGGUUUUGUAAGUCAGACGUGAAAUCUCCGGGCUUAACCCGGAGCGGCCAAGUGAUACUGUUGUGCUAGAGUGCGGAAGGGGCUACUGGAAUUCUCGGUGUAGCGGUGAAAUGCGUAGAUAUCGAGAGGAACACCUGCGGCGAAGGCGGGUAGCUGGGCCGACACUGACGCUGAGGCGCGAAAGCCAGGGGAGCGAACGGG
rnacentral:rRNA from 1 species